UCCAUGGUGGCUCAGAUGGUAAAGAAUCUGCCUGCAGUGCAGGAGAUCUGGGUUCAAUCCCUGGUUUGGGAA
rnacentral:tRNA from 1 species